GAUGAACGCUGGCGGCGUGCCUAAUACAUGCAAGUCGAGCGAAGCGGGGACGGGUGAGUACCACGUGGAUAACCUCCUAUACGACUGGGAUAACUUCGGGAAACCGGUGCUAAACCGGCUACUUAUAGGUGGAUCCGCGCUGCAUUAGCUAGUUGGUAAGGUAACGGCUUACCAAGGCCACGAUGCAUAGCCGACCUGAGAGGGUGAUCGGCCACACUGGAACUGAGACACGGUCCAGACUCCUACGGGAGGCAGCAGUAGGGAAUCUUCGGCAAUGGGCGAAAGUCUGACGGAGCAACGCCGCGUGAGUGAAGAAGGUCUUCGGAUCGUAAAACUCUGUUAUUAGGGAAGCGGUACCUAAUCAGAAAGCCACGGCUAACUACGUGCCAGCAGCCGCGGUAAUUC
rnacentral:rRNA from 1 species